rnacentral:rRNA from 1 species
CAUUGAGCCUUGAUGUGUAGGAUAGGUGGGAGGCUUUGAAGUGUGGACGCCAGUCUGCAUGGAGCCGACCUUGAAAUACCACCCUUUAAUGUUUGAUGUUCUAACGUGGGCCCCUAAUCGGGGUUGCGGACAGUGUCUGGUGGGUAGUUUGACUGGGGCGGUCUCCUCCUAAAGAGUAACGGAGGAGCACGAAGGUUGGCUAAUCCUGGUCGGACAUCAGGAGGUUAGUGCAAUGGCAUAAGCCAGCUUGACUGCGAGCGUGACGGCGCGAGCAGGUGCGAAAGCAGGUCAUAGUGAUCCGGUGGUUCUGAAUGGAAGGGCCAUCGCUCAACGGAUAAAAGGUACUCCGGGGAUAACAGGCUGAUACCGCCCAAGAGUUCAUAUCGACGGCGGUGUUUGGCACCUCGAUGUCGGCUCAUCACAUCCUGGGGCUGAAGUAGGUCCCAAGGGUAUGGCUGUUCGCCAUUUAAAGUGGUACGCGAGCUGGGUUUAGAACGUCGUGAGACAGUUCGGUCCCUAUCUGCCGUGGGCGCUGGAGAACUGAGGGGGGCUGCUCCUAGUACGAGAGGACCGGAGUGGACGCAUCACUGGUGUUCGGGUUGUCAUGCCAAUGGCACUGCCCGGUAGCUAAAUGCGGAAGAGAUAAGUGCUGAAAGCAUCUAAGCACGAAACUUGCCCCGAGAUGAGUUCUCCCUGAGACUUAGAGUCUCCUGAAGGAACGUUGAAGACGACGACGUUGAUAGGCCGGGUGUGUAAGCGCAGCGAUGCGUUGAGCUAACCGGUACUAAUGAACCGUGAGGCUUAACCUU